UGUGCUGGACCUGUAGGACAUGAAGUCAUAUGUGACCCUUCCUUGGGCUGGAUGCUGUCGUCUGGCCAGAUAAACUAACAGGCUAGGAGAUCCAGCUGGGGCUGGCUGUACUUUGCCCACGUCUGUUACAACAUAUGGUAUACUCACUUGAAGUGACUGACAGAGCUAUUUAAUUUUACAGUUUGUCUGAUGCCCCCACCCAAAUACCAUGCAUACCGUCAUGUGCUGAUGCAAAACGGCAUUUGUGAGCAGUCUCAACUUGGUUUCAGUCACGGAUUUCACGAAAGGAACACUUAAAAAUUGGACUUGAACUCCACAGCUCCCAGGAUAGGGCAGAGCUGGAUGGAAACAUCUGGAGAUGUACCCGGGAACAGGGCCCACCAUGUUCCUCGGGAGGAAAUUGAGGUGGCAAGAUUGACGCCCAAGGACUCAUGCAGCCAGUUGACACAAGCCUAGAACCUUCCGCCUGACUUCCAACCAAUACUCUUUCCAGCCCGGGCUGUCAUCACACUUGAUGUUUUGCUUCAUGUACAAAAUAAGGCCUCUCAGAACCUUUCCCGGAACUGGACCUUUGGACCUCAAAAUGGUUUAAUGUACACUUUUGGGAAGGGAGAGCCACAAGGCCUCUAAGUGGUUUUGAUCAAGUUUGCCAAUAUUUACACCGUUGGAUAAUCUUCAUGAACUUCAUAAAUAAUGUAAAUUCCUACAAAGCGAGUUAACCGUGAGCUACGGUGCUCUUUCGAAAAAUCCAUGUUACACAAUCAUCCUGACAAAGUUAACAACUCGAUGGAAUACCGAAGGCAGAAUAUCCAGGACCCUGUGGACCCCUAUUGUCAGCUUCAGCAUUCGCCAACCACAGUAAUUCAACCCCAAAAUCUCGGCUCUACACCAUGCAGGCUAUAAAAAGAGAGGGAUGAACAUAUUUGUACACUGAGGGGAACAGCCAAUGGAGCAUCGGAGCAGAGCAGUGCUCAAGGAAUGUUUACAGCUAAGGAGGCUCCAUGGAGGAUUGCUUGAAGGACAUGAAGUCCAUCUGUCUCCCUAGAUAGUUUAGAUUAUAUCUCAAGGUCAAGAAAGAUCAGACAUACGCCCCGAUUCUGUUUCUGUGGCUCUCCAGUCCCCACCACAAGGAGAGAGAGAGAGAGAGUUUCCUUGGGGACUCAGAAGUGACUUCUAUACUCCAGGAGGCUCUUGGGUAAGUAACUGCAGAGCCCUCUGAAUGGCUUUAUGAGUGCCUUGCUUUUAGAAGGAUGCAGGAAAAAAGUGUCCAAUCCAUAGUCACUGUUCAAUAAACAUUUACUAAAUCUUG